rnacentral:rRNA from 1 species
GAAAGCGAGUUUUAACUGAGCGUUCAGUUACUUGACGUAGACCCGAAACCGGGCGACCUACCCAUGAGCAGGAUGAAGCGAAAGUAAAAUUUCGUGGAGGUCCGAACCCACGAGCGUUGAAAAGCUCGGGGAUGACUUGUGGGUAGCGGUGAAAUUCCAAUCGAGCCCGGAGAUAGCUGGUUCUCCCCGAAAUAGCUUUAGGGCUAGCCUCAAGGUGAGAGAUACGGAGGUAGAGCACUGAAUGUCCUAGGGGGUAUUGCACCUACCGAAGACUAUCAAACUCCGAAUGCCGUCAUCUUAUACUUGGGAGUCAGACUGUGGGUGAUAAGAUUCAUAGUCGAAAGGGCAACAGCCCAGAUCGUCAGCUAAGGUCCCUAAAUGUAAGUUAAGUGGUAAAGGAUGUGGGAUUGCACAGACAACCAGGAUGUUGGCUUAGAAGCAGCCACUCAUUCAAAGAGUGCGUAAUAGCUCACUGGUCGAGUGAUCCUGCGCCGAAGAUUUCCGGGGCUAAAACUUACUACCGAAGCUACGGCAUCAGUAAUGAUGGGUAGGGGAGCUUCCCAUACGGGUUGAAGCAUGACCGUAAGGACAUGUGGACAGUAUGGGAGUGAGAAUGUUGGCAUGAGUAGCGAGAUGUGGGUGAGAAUCCCACAGGCCGUAAACCCAAGGUUUCCAGGGGAAGGUUCGUCCGCCCUGGGUUAGUCGGGACCUAAGCUGAGGCCGAAAGGCGUAGGUGAUGGACAACAGGUUGAUAUUCCUGUAC